GACGAACGCUGGCGGCACGCCUAACACAUGCAAGUCGAACGGUGACGAUGGUGCUUGCACCAUCUGAUCAGUGGCGGACGGGUGAGUAACACGUGAGUAACCUGCCUAUCGGAGGGGGACAACAGUUGGAAACGACUGCUAAUACAGCAUAACGUCAUUGGAAGGCAUCUUCUGAUGACCAAAGAUUUAUCGCCGAUAGAUGGGCCCGCGUCUGAUUAGAUAGUUGGUGAGGUAACGGCUCACCAAGUCGACGAUCAGUAGCCGGACUGAGAGGUUGAACGGCCACAUUGGGACUGAGACACGGCCCAGACUCCUACGGGAGGCAGCAGUGGGGGAUAUUGGACAAUGGGGGCAACCCUGAUCCAGCGAUGCCGCGUGAGGGAAGAAGGUUUUCGGAUUGUAAACCUCUGUGAACAGGGACGAUAAUGACGGUACCUGUUUAGAAAGCCACGGCUAACUACGUGCCAGCCGCCGCAGUAAAAC
rnacentral:rRNA from 1 species